UUUUUAAACCAGAUCUUCUUGAUAGACUGGCCACAAGGUCAUGGUCGAGCAUUAUAAAAUAAAUCUCACGAGAUGACGUUGUCUGUUAUUUAUCAGAACAGAAAUUGUGUGGGAAAGUUAAAAUGGAUACAAAUAUUUACAAUUGAAAAUAUAGAAACAUUUCUUACUUGCAGAUAUACUUAACCAUAUGCAAAAUGUAGUUGCUGGAGGAAAUAUAAAGUAACAAUCUUCAAUAUGUCUAAAACCAGGAAACUAAUAAUAUUAUGUGUCGCACCAAGAAAAUUGAACCCAGAAGAGACCGUAUAGCAAUAAGAAAGAAAAAGAAAACUUGUAGCGAAAGAUGCGGACCUAAAGCAUGCAUAAAGAAGAUUUGCCGUUUUUUUUGUAGAAGAAUUAAGAGGUGUGUCAAGAAGAAAGUCUUCGGAGUGCCAGACCCCAAACUCCACGAAUAUGAAGUCGUCGGAAUUAAUCUAGGCAGCAUAAAAGAUAAGAUAUUACCAAGUAAAGAUCGUAGUAGAACAUCGCUAGCUAAUCAAAACAAGAAAAUGACGAAGCUUUACCUCGAAGAUUUAGACCUGAUAAAAGGAAUGAACGCAAGUGAACUGGGAAAGAAAUUUUCUGUAUCACCAUCAAAAGCCAAAGUAUUAGAUAAAUUGGUUGAAGAUUAUAAGAAAGGACGCCUUUCUGUUACUAUGUUGCCAAACAAAUCUAAGAUAAGGACAAGGAAACUUAACAAAGAGAAACUCAAUAAGAUAAUACAGGAUUACGAUGAAAUUAAAAAGAACAGUAAAACUAGGUCAUCGAAAAUCAUCGAAAAACUGAGAAGUAUGGAGCCAGCGGAAUUGAAAAAGAAAUUUUCACUGACUAGUUCAAGACACAGAGUUUUAGAACGAAUGGUGGAUGAUUAUAAGAAAAAUAAAUUUUCCUUUUCAAAUCUAUCACACCAUUCUAAAUUCAGUUCAAGACGAAUAAGCAAGGGGCAAAUGAACCAAAUGUUGACAAAUUAUGAGGCACAGAAGAAAAAGAGUUUGAAACUUCCGUUUUCAUUGCCAUCUAGACUGGGACCCUUAGAGCCUUUAAUUGAUGAAUUAAAGAAUACCAGAAUGUCAAUUUCCAGCAUUACCAGAAAAGUCUUCAGAAAAUGAUUCAUUUUAUAACUUGCUUCUAAUAAUGUCAGUACAAUAAAGUUUGUCGUUGUGCCUUAUUA